CUUCUUCGUUUCUAUUUUUUCUUGUUUAUCUUUCUUCCUCUUCAUCUUCUUUGUUUUCUUCUUCCGCCUUUUCUUCUUCAUUUCUUUUCUUUCUUCGUUUACUUCUUCUUCUUUGUUUCAUUUUUCUUCUUCUCCAGAGCAGCCGUCGUCCGCCUAUUCCGUUCGUGGUCGCCGAUUGAUGUCGGAGAUUAAAACCGAAGACACCAUUGUCACCGAUAGGACCUUUCCGACAAAAGAAAGAAGGAUAAGUUGUUCUUACCGUGUUCUUGAUUUUGUUUCCUUUUGUGUUCUGCUUCCUUGGAGUAGCAACAAAUGCUUUGUUGAUAUCUAGUUACAAAUCUCUUCUUUUGAAAAUUAUUUAAUUAUAUGUUGUGUUGCUACUUUGGGUUAUUCUGAUUUUGUGCACAAAAUAUGUUAUAGGUUAAAAUUGGAAAUUGAAAAAAUUCUGUUAGUUGAGCUGAAUUCCAAGAUCCAAUCACAUUUAUAUGGUUGUGUGAUGUGGGAUAUUUGUGGAGAAAACUCUGAGAUGAGGAUUGUGUAUGACAAUCUAAGCAUUAACAUUUGAGUCACUUCUAGGAGAAUAACAUUAAACACUGCAUAAAUGUAGUUGGUCCCGUAAGCAACAUAUACUUGCAUUAUAAUUUUCUGCGAUUGAUUCGUGUAUGUAAAUGUAUGGAAUAAAAGAUUCAUUGAAGUUGUGCCGAUCUCACCAUGCCUCACCUUGAAGUCUUCACUACUUCUAAUUGAAAGUAUUUAUCCUUGCUAAUAUUAUAAUAUGAUACCAUGUUUUUUCAAAUAAUGUAUCUUAUAUUAAUAAAUCACUGCGGGACUAGAUUAUUGCAGGCGAAUCUUUUAUAGCCGCUUAAAGACAUUGACACCAUAAAUGCCAACAAAAUUGUAGUACACCCCGGAUAAUUGCUCUUAUGAACAAUCUGAUGUUUUAAAUAGUUAAGUUGCUAUUGUUAGUUGUUAGAAUGCAGUUGUAAUUAUGUUAGGAUUUUCUGUGCUUGAGUAUGCUUUAGUUUCUACCCUCACUAGCUAAAUAGAGUUGAAUUGGAUAACAUGCUCUGGCAUAGUUGUUCAUCUUAUCAGUUUAGUUUUAAAAUUUUUGUUGAUAUACAAUAAUGGUUGCAUUAAUCCUUGGUGAAAGUUAAUUGAAGGAUGAGUUGAUGAGCAAUGAACAACUUUUUUUUGGCUUGUCUCAGGCUCUUCGGAAGUUCCCAAAAGAAACUAUUGAGUGUUGAAUCUAAAUAAUGGGGAAAAGACUUUCUAUGUCCCCCAUGAUUCACUAUGAUAAAGUACUCUUGACACUUCUGCUUUAAACAAAAGAAAGUUACUAAUGGAGUCUUGGCCCUUGAUAAUUCCAGAUAGAGAUGAAUCUUGAUAAAACUGUCUUAGAUGCUUUACCAUUAUUUUCAAAGCUCCUCCUCAGUGUCAACCGCAAUUUUUUGAAGGCAAAAAAGAUGCAAGUAUGAGGAUUUAGUAGAUCAGCCCCUCCCCUCAGCCCCCUCCCAAAUUCUGCACCACAAAAAAUUCUGCAAUCAAGAAAGUUUUUCUUGGCUUUGAAUGUUGAUAAUAUUUAAGUUUGCUUCUUGAUUGUUUUUUUGUAUAUGUCUUGAUUGUUGUAGGUUAGAUUAGAUUGGUUUAGGUUGUUUAAUUUCUGUCUAGUUCCUUAACCAUGUUAUUGCAGUAGGAUAAUUUGCAUUGUUUUGUUUCUUGGAUUUCCUUGGCUAAGAUGGGCUGCUCCUUUAAUUAACUUAGAUUGGUAUGGUUGUAAAUCUAUAGUUAGUUUUGUGUUUAUUUAGUUGUUUAGGUGUAGAACUUGUUAAUUAAACUUGGAUUCAAUUUUAGUCGAUGUUUAAUAUAAUUGUUAUUUAUUAGUAGGUUUGCACUUCAUUGUGAAAUUCUAAUGAAUUAGAGAUUCUCAUCAGCAUUGAAUAAAAGGUGGGAGUCAUGUCCACACUUAUGGAAGCGUGUUUCUUGAUUUUAUCAUUUUCAAAUCAUUAUUCCUUUGGUCGGAUAAUUUAUCCUUGGGAACAACCUGAAGAUUAUUUCUAUUGCUGAUGAUGAAUUUCUGAGUAGCUUUUAGCUUUGAAAGAUGUUGAAAAUCUAAAGGAUCUGUUUGAUGGUAUUAUAUAACAAUCGAGGUUCUCCAUUUGUUUGACUAUGUGUGAAGCAAAAUGAAGAUAUCAAACUGCACUGAUGUUUUUUGAGAUACAACAUUGUUGUAGCAAGUGAAGCAUUUUAUUAUCAUUCAUUUUCAUUAAUGUGUUGCAUAGUAGCAUAUUCGAGCUAAUAGUGUACCUUUGAUUGAAAACUGUCUAGUUCAAUUCAACAGCUCCGUCGUUGCGUAUGGAUAGGUAUGGUCAUCUCUGUCUGCUUAUGGAUUUAUUGCAGUGCAUUUUUAAUAAAAGUAUGGUUCUAUGGCAGUCACACACAAACAUAUAUAUAUCUAUAUUAAUUUUCAUAUGUGAGCUUAUUUGAUUUUUUUUCAGACUCAGAGUGGCAAGCAUACACAAUCUGGGGUAAAUGUAUUGCUAGAGGAAGAUCAGCAAGGCUUAGCUCCCAAUUUUUUUUAAUGCCAAAAUUAUUUUUAAUUAUUUUUUUGUGCCGCUUUCAGCACCAAUAGUUUUUUUUUUUUUUAAAAAAAAAAAUCUUUUUUGGUAUAGGUUAUGGCACUACCUUCGGCACCUCAACUUUCUUCUCUCUCUCUCUCUUUUUUUUUUUCUUAUUUAUGGCUCCAAUAGUGGCACCAAAAUUUUUUAUUUUUGGUCUGGAUGUUCACUACUAAGAACAUUCGAACCGAGAUUCUGUACCGGAUAGAAACUGUGACACAUGCCACGCCAAAUUGGCAUAAUAGUUGCGAUUUUGGUACCAUUUCUUCCGUGCCAGAUCAAUCUUUUUCUAGUAGUGCAAUUAAAGUCCUAGUUUUGAGCUUGAUUUUGUGAUGCAGGUCUGGUUUAUAUAUUGUUGUAGUAUAGAUUCAUUGCUAUCUUUUGCUGCUAGUUGACUAGAUUGGCAUACCCUUAUAAGGGAGUCUAUCUCUGCUUUAUUUUCCAAUUUAUCAUUACAAAUCUUGUUGCAUGUAUAUGUUGUUGCUUCAUUUUUUUCUUUUUUGGAUGACCUUUUUUAGUAAGGCCGAGAUAAAUGUACUAGUAGAUAAAGGCCAAAGGCAAAGAACCCGAUAGCCUGGAAAUAUGGAUGGCAUCCCGCACCAAGGGACAACACGUGGAUAAUGAAAAGACUGAUGAUAUUUUGGUAACAACACCUAUUUGUUAAGAGCAACACAAUUUUUUGUGUUUUCACCCUCACGUAAUGUUAUUACAUUUGUCUUCAAACUCAUUGUGACACGUGUUCGUUUGCUCUCCCGAGGACUGGAGAAACGUGUGGUCAGCGAAGGAGUGAUGCUAAGCCUCCCUGCACCAGGUGAUACCCUAGCCAUUGUUAAGGUGUAUGUUAUAGCUGUAAUAGUCCCGGAGACCACACUUAUCCUUCCAACUAAUGCUGGAGCAAAAAUUCUCGGUGAUGUAUUCGACGGAGAUAAUAUUGAGUAGAUUUACCAGGAUGUACGCAUUUUUUUUGUUUACUUUAUUCCUUUGGAAAUUAAAUUACUUUAAUUUUUGUAUUAAAUGCUUAUAUAUUAUUAAAAACACAUUAUAGUUGGUUCGCCGCCCAUGAUUGCAUCCUCCAUGAUUUUGCACUCGACAAGCUGGGUCAUUCAUAGUUGUAUUUAUGAGUUGCCCUUAAGAUCAUACUUCUGUAUAAUAUCAGAUUUAUCUAUUUACGUAUUACUUUUUGGUUUAGUGUAUCGUUAUUUAGUAGGUUGUUAUAUUGGUGUUCGGAUUGGUGUUUUCUUGGGAUGUUUUGUUAGCACCGUUGACGACUAAUAUUAUAUUUUUGGAUGGACUAUGAACAUCGUUGUAUUGAUGACCAUGUGUAGUAUUACCAUGGAUUUGGAAACAAUUAUGAUAAGUUUAAGUUUUAUAUUAUUUGUCUCACAGAUUAAUAAUACAGACAAAUGGAAUUUAUUUAUGGUGACAAAACUACUAUGCAACACAAGGAGGUCCUUGGUAGUGUAUUUUUAGUUACAGACAGUGGCCAGUACAAAUGGUAAUGUAUGGUUGCCUGACUUUUGUCAUGACUUUUUGUUGCGGACUAAUUUUGUAACAAACAACUUAUUUGUUAGGGGGCAGUCUUUUUGUAAUGUAUUGUUGUUACGGACAAAUCUUGUAACAAAUAUAAUUAACACGUGCUUAUUUU